GUUCGGUAAUGUCCGUGUGCGUUCGGGCAUGUUCGCUGGGGCAGCGGCGCGCGCCUCGUGUCUCGCGAAACGUAUCGUUCAGUAUGCACCGUACAGUUGCCGCGUUGGGAGUGUAUGAUCUUCCGUGCUGCGAAAAUCGGUAUCGAUGAACACGAAUGAAUUGAGAUAAAUAAAAAUAAAAAUAAAAAAAUAACUUAUCAUUGAAUGGUGCAUAUUCUAUAGAAUUAAAACGAAUUGAUGCGAUUCGAGAUAAAUAAAAGCUAGUGUCGCAUCGAAAGAAAGUUUCUUACUCGUAUUUUUCAUUCGCUUCCUUCUAUUUAAUCUUACUAUUUUUGUGAAACGUAUGUAUAUGAUCGUUAUCUUCGUUAAAAGAAUAUUGAAGGAUACGUUAGCUUCUUGGUUGGACCCUUGAAGGGUCGCAAAGUGGUAGCGAUUAGGCGGUGACGUUUUAAAGAGCUGUCACGUAUUUUUUAAUUAUCGUACUACCUCUCCAGGGAUGACGAUUUUAGGCGACCAGCGUAACGCUAGAUCGUAACGAUCGAAUCAGGGGGAGACACAGUGGAAGGAAUAGCUCGCGAAGAAAAACGAAAAAUAAAGAGAGUACGAGAGCGAGGAAAGAGGAGAGAUAAUUGUUAUGGACACCAACGCGACGAACGAGCAAAUUUGUAUCAUUCAAGGAGGCGGGAAGCUGUUGGUACAAGAAACGAACGACACGCGGCCUGGAGAAAUCGAUCGGCUUGAGUUUUCAACAAGUUGUAAAUUGAGAAACCGCCAUUUGUACGGUUCGUGAGAAGUUAUGCGGUGAAUAAGUGUCGCGAGUGAGUCUCGCGGUCGAGACGAGAUCCGAACGUGUUCUUUUCCUUUCAUUUCCAGUUAUUCUCGUCUUUCGUACAAUAACGAGGACACGAUAAGCUUUUGAUCGUGACUUUAGUAAAGAAGAAUUGAUCGAGUUAUCAAGUGAUUCACGAAAAUAUUCUUGGAAGCUUGAUUCUUAAACAUUUCGCUGAGAGAUUCUCAAGUGAGUGAUUCGUGCUACUGUAGAACUACUGCUUUGCUUACAAGUCGACGAGUGAUUCGUGUGUGUACCAUAACGUCCUUACCAGCUAACACAAUUGGAUUGGAUUGCUUACUUGAUCAGGUUUCCGAAGGAAGAGGAGGAAAGGAAAAAAAAAGAGGGUUCGUGAACAAGGAUGACAAUAAUGAGAAGGAAGGAGUGAAGGACCACGAGGGUGAGAAAAGAGAGUAUAAGCCUAGCAUUAGUGAAGGAGUGUAGUAGUCACAGGAAGUGCUUUGAAGAGAGAGAAAGAGAAAGACAGACAGAAAGACAGAAA
rnacentral:lncRNA from 1 species